UUGAAUAAACGUGGUUGGGUUGUUGCUGGCUUUUAGGAGCAUGUGCACGCUCACUCCAUUUUUAACCACCUGUGCACCUUGUGUAGAUCUGAACAAAUCUCGGGGAAACUCGGUCAGAGAAUUGCUGUGUGUAAAAGCCAGCUUUUCUUGGGUUCAGAUCUAUGUCUCUAUAUACACCAUAUGAAUGUAUUCGAAUGUAAUUGAUAGGCGUUACAGCCUCUAAAAUCAAAUA
rnacentral:misc_RNA from 1 species